AAUUGAUUUUUCCUUGAAAUAAGAUCUCUCUCAUAUAUGCUACCUGACCUUAAACAAGUCUGCAUGUAAUUCUCUUAAGAUCUGUGUCUAUGAAAAUAGGGCAUUAAACAUCAUUCACUGUUUUUAUCUGCUCAUUCCUUUCACAGAUGCCUCCAUGGGGUACACAUUUGUUCAAAGAUAGCUCAUCUGGUUGAAAGCACAGUUGGCCUGUUUUACAGGAGGAAAACUAAAGUAUGAAUAAUCCAUUGCUUCUUAACAGAAGGGGCAAGAACCACCAACCUUAGGAGAUGCAACUUCUGCGGAACCUACCAGAGCAGUUGAUGAUGGCAUGCAAGGGCUCCAUCAGCAUCCCCAGCAGUAAAGCCUGCAGAUGAUGGAGCUUUGCCUUGGCCUCUGUGGACUGCAACCAGUAACAAGUGACAGCAAUGGGCAACUUCAGCAAAGCAGGGAUGGACUCCAGGACAACGUGAUUGACCUUCAGGGCUUCUAACAGAAGUAUCUGCCGCCUAGCCAGGGGGAGCUGAAAACAUUAAAUAUUCUGGAAAUUA